CCUACGGGAGGCUGCAGUGAGGAAUAUUGGUCAAUGGACGAAAGUCUGAACCAGCCAAGUAGCGUGCAGGAUGACUGCCCUAUGGGUUGUAAACUUCUUUUAUACAGGAAUAACACGAGUCACGUGUGCCUUUUUGCAUGUACUUUAUGAAUAAGGAUCGGCUAACUCCGUGCCAGCAGCCGCGGUAAUACGGAGGAUCCGAGCGUUAUCCGGAUUUAUUGGGUUUAAAGGGAGCGUAGAUGGGUUGUUAAGUCAGUUGUGAAAGUUUGCGGCUCAACCGUAAAAUUGCAAUUGGUACUGGCAGGCUUGAGUACAGUUGAGGUAGGCGGAAUUCGUGGUGUAGCGGUGAAAUGCUUAGAUAUGACGAAGAACCCCGAUUGCGAAGGCAGCUUACUAAACUGGGACUGACACUGAUGCUCGAAAGUGUGGGUAUCAAACAGGAUUAGAUACCCGUGUAGUC
rnacentral:rRNA from 1 species